AAUCCUCCUCCUUCGUUCCCAAAACCCUCACCCUCAAAACCCUCUUCUUCUCUUGGCCAUCAUCUUCUUCUUCUUCCUCGCUCUCCAAGAAACCGAUCGAGAGCGCGAUAGAGCGCCAUGAAGGAGCCCGAAGCCCCGGAGAAGGAUCUCUACGCUCGCCUCCACCUCUCUCCCGAUGCCUCCGACGAGGAGAUUCGCAAGGCUUAUCGCCAGUGGGCCCAAAUCUACCACCCCGACAAGUACCAAGAUCCUCAGAUGAAGGAUAUUGCCACAGAAAAUUUUCAACGAAUCCGCGAUGCAUAUGAAGUCCUAUCAGAUGAGCACAAAAGGCAAAUAUACGACAUCUAUGGCAUGGAAGGGUUGAAUUCAGGUUUGGAGCUUGGCCCUAAGCUGAAUAGACCGGAAGAAAUCAAAGAAGAAUUGGAAAGGCUACGACGCCGCAGGGAAGAAGAGAAACUCUUUGCCCAUGCACGGCCCAGUGGUUCACUUCUUGCUAAUUUAUCAGUGCCACAAUAUCUAGAAGGUGGCGGCAUCAUAAGGGGAAUGGCAAUGUCUAGUGAAGUUCAGUCACAGAUAUCCAAGCGUAAUACUGUUGCAAUUGGUGGAAACUUGGUUGUUACCGGUAAAGCUGGAACCGGUGCUGCGACAGUUCUGCUGCGGCAUCAUGCAUCCUCAGCUGCUUCAAUCGAAUUUAUGGCAACAGCUGGUCUACGCUCUCUUGUGGGAAUACAAACAACGCGUCAAGUUUCAGCCCAUUCAACAGCAACAUCUGGGCUUUCAGUUUCAUUGAGAGAUGGAUCAAUCAACCUGUCGAACGGCUGGACUCGCCAACUAUCUGAACAUACUGUGGGAAAUAUACAACUUGUUCUUGGAACGGAAUCAACUAUUGGCGUUGGAUGGCAAAAGAAAAAUGAUAAAACUACUGCAGCAGGAGAAGUGAAGUUUGGGACAAGUUUUUUUGGUGCAUCAGCUCAUUAUACCCACCAUUUUUCUUCGAAGUCCCAUGGCCGUAUUGCUGGUAGAAUUGGAAGCACUGCUCUUGAGUUUGAAAUUGGAGGUGGCAGACGGAUAUCUGACUUCAGUACUGUGCGGAUGCUCUACAAUAUAGGAAUUCAAGGAAUCUCUUGGAGGUUUGAAUUACACCGUGCUGGUCAAAAGUUGGUUAUUCCGGUCUUGCUUUUCCGUGAGCUGAAUGCAUUAGUUGCGACCAGCACAUUGUUAAUUCCUUCGUCACUUUAUUUUCUACUUAAGACAUACAUUGUGAAGCCUUACUAUCUUAGGAGGGAAAGGCAGAAGGCACUUGAGAAGAUGGAGAGCCUGUCGACUCAGGUUCAUGAAGCGAGAGAGGCUGCUAAAAGAGCACAAAAAUUACUGGAAAACGUUGCUAACCGAAAGAAGAAUAAGCAAUUGGAAAAAGAUGGAUUGGUAAUAACAAGAGCCAUAUAUGGAAACCGUAAAUUAAUUAGAGAAAGCAGCGAACAUAGUGAGGUGAAGGAUGAUGCAGCUUCACAACUCCUCGACGUGACACUGCCACUUAAUUUUCUAGUGACUGAUUCGGGUCAGCUCAAGCUUCAUGCGGGAAUAAAGAAGUCUGGAAUAAUGGGUUUUUGCGAUCCCUGUCCUGGUGAGCCUAAGCAGUUACUUGUGGAGUACAUGUUCAGCGGCCAGAAAUACACGGUAGUGGUUGAUGACUACGAUGAGUUGUUUUUACCGCAAGAUAUUCAUCGUAUUUAAUCUAAAUCCAGCUUGCGAUUUAGAAAUGGUGCCCCGAAUAGUUUGUAUUACAGGCUACGGCCUUUAGAAGGUCCAUACUGCUAAUCUACGUCCUUCAGAAAGGUAAUAUAAUCAUCAGGUGAAUAAGUUCUAGGCGUAUCGCAUAAUAGCACGGAGGAAAUGAUCAAUGGACUUACGCAUGUGAUCCAAGUGACUGCUGUUCCAACGGUCGAAUCGAAAAGGAUGUCGAAGCCACAGCUAGUCCACUGGUCCACAGGAAAUACACGUACCUUUCCCACAGGUCCACAGGUAAUACACAUACCUUUCCGAUGAACAAAAAUUUUAAGAUCAUUCGUAUGAUGUAAUUGUUAAAUUUGCUAUCUAUUAUUAUUUUAACGUUUGAGUGUUGCGUACGAUGAGUGAUAGAUUCAAAAAAGAUUUAUCUCUAUGAGCCCAAACUAAAUCGACGAAAAUUAUUCAGAAAUAAUCUCGCACUUGUAAUAUCUUUCUGGUAGAUAAUCGCGGCUAUUCCUUCGAACAAAACAAUCUUGACCGCUCAUUGUGACAGAGUCUUAUAAAAUCAAGCUAAAAUUCCAACAUAUACAUAUGUAUAUGAUUCGAUUGGCCUGGCCCAUGAACUAUGUGGUGGACCGAGUCUACCGAAGAAUUCGCCGUGUGAUGUAAUGGACCUGCUGCAGUACUGCUAAUAAAGAAUCCAUGACAGUAAGCAACCCUACCUAAGGAACUCUUCCCCUAAGAACAACCUCCCCAGUCCCUACUCCCUACUAAAGAGGAAAAGGGUACCAACAAACAAAUAAAAAAAAAAGAAGAAACCCAUAAGAUAAUAAUAUGUACCAAAGCCCUAGAAAGAUCCAGCAAAUGUGCCAACCUAGCAUGAGACCAUGGUCCCUGACUCCCUUCACUUACUAUAUUCAAAGCUGUUUGACUAUGAGGAGCAAACAAUCUGUGGACAGUGCACAAUGUGAACAAACCCCCAUUCUUGGGAGGAAUUAUAGACUAGACCUGGUUUUUCAUAUUAAUCAUGCACUGUGACAUUCGAAUAGUACUAUAUAUAAUAGACAUAGUAUGACUAAAUCUUUUAAUCUGAUUACAGUACAACGGUGACAAGGGCUAAAACGUUAAGAAAGUUGAGCGAGUUGAAGACUAUAGUAAUUUUAUGUUGGGUGACCCUCCUUAGAUAGCGAGGUAUUAUAUAAACUGUCUAAACCGUCCACUCUUCAUUACAUCUCUUCUGAUCACAGACACUGCCUGUAAAUCAAUAUCACUCUUUUUCACAUUUAUAGAUAAGAGAAAAUAAAAUGGAGACAACACAGGCCUAGUGUGAAAUUGCCUUGUCUAAAAAAUUCCUUCUAUAAAUGCUUUGGAAGGCGCAUAAGAUCUAAAAGUACCUUUAAUCUCUCUUUCUUUAUAAUUAUAAACUGCGGUGUGAAUUGUUAUUUUUUGGGCCUCUUAAAGCACGAAAAUGGGUGUUUUAGACGACACAAUUUCAAAUUAGGCUUGAGUGGUCCACAACCGACAUGUUGAACUAGGUGCAAGCAAUGAUUUCUCGAAUCUUAAAGGCCCUUUAUAUAAAGGCACAUCCUUACUCCAUUCCCCUACAACAAAUCCUCACUUCUACAUCUCCAUAUCUCCUCCGCCACCUUUAAAUUCUCUUCUUCUCUAACAUGGCUAGGCUCUUAUUCCUAGCAUUAUUUGUGGUCAAUGUUCUUGCUACACUAGCAAUGGCUAGGCCACUCGGCAUUGCCGAUCCGCCGUCUCCGGCGAGCGUUGGAUCGCCGGGAAUCGCCGGUGGACCGGAAUCGCAGCAAAUUGCGGAUCCGACGUCGGAUAAAUCGAUCGCGGGGGCCGAAGUGAUUCUCGGUGGCUUCGCGACCGCCGUUCUCGCCAUUAUCUUUUGCUACAUUAGGGUUACAAGGAAGAAUAAUGGAGGGGACAAGGCAUAGAUUUUAUGUGGUUGCGUUCUAUAGUUCUUAGUUCAAUAUCUUUUUCUUCUUUGUUCUUGUAACUCUUUUUUGAUUUUCUAGCCAUUUUGGCUUUGUAAAAAACACAAGUUACACAAUUAAUACAGUUGAGGAAUAUUUAGAUAGA